AUCUGCCUAUUAGUGGGGGACAACAUUUCGAAAGGAAUGCUAAUACCGCAUACGUCCUACGGGAGAAAGCAGGGGAUCUUCGGACCUUGCGCUAAUAGAUGAGCCUAAGUCGGAUUAGCUAGUUGGUGGGGUAAAGGCCUACCAAGGCGACGAUCUGUAGCGGGUCUGAGAGGAUGAUCCGCCACACUGGGACUGAGACACGGCCCAGACUCCUACGGGAGGCAGCAGUGGGGAAUAUUGGACAAUGGGCGCAAGCCUGAUCCAGCCAUGCCGCGUGUGUGAAGAAGGCCUUAUGGUUGUAAAGCACUUUAAGCGAGGAGGAGGCUACUUUAGUUAAUACCCUAGAGAUAGUGGACGUUACUCGCAGAAUAAGCACCGGCUAACUCUGUGCCAGCAGCCGCGGUAAUACAGAGGGUGCAAGCGUUAAUCGGAUUUACUGGGCGUAAAGCGCGCGUAGGCGGCUAAUUAAGUCAAAUGUGAAAUCCCCGAGCUUAACUUGGGAAUUGCAUUCGAUACUGGUUAGCUAGAGUGUGGGAGAGGAUGGUAGAAUUCCAGGUGUAGCGGUGAAAUGCGUAGAGAUCUGGAGGAAUACCGAUGGCGAAGGCAGCCAUCUGGCCUAACACUGACGCUGAGGUGCGAAAGCAUGGGGAGCAAACAGGAUUAGAUACCCUGGUAGUCCAUGCCGUAAACGAUGUCUACUAGCCGUUGGGGCCUUUGAGGCUUUAGUGGCGCAGCUAACGCGAUAAGUAGACCGCCUGGGGGAGUACGGUCGCAAGACUAAAACUCAAAUGAAUUGACGGGGGGCCCGCACAAGCGGUGGAGCAUGUUGGUUUAAUUCGAUGCAACGCAGAAGAACCUUUACCUGGCCUUGACAUAGUAAGAACUUUCCAGAGAUGGAUUGGGUGCGUUCGGGAACUUAACAUACAGGUGCUGCAUGGCUGUCGUCAGCUCGUGUCGUGAGAUGUUGGGUUAAGUCCCGCAACGAGCGCAACCCUUUUCCUUAUUUGCCAGCGAGUAAUGUCGGGAACUUUAAGGAUACUGCCAGUGACAAACUGGAGGAAGGCGGGGACGACGUCAAGUCAUCAUGGCCCUUACGGCCAGGGCUACACACGUGCUACAAUGGUCGGUACAAAGGGUUGCUACCUAGCGAUAGGAUGCUAAUCUCAAAAAGCCGAUCGUAGUCCGGAUUGGAGUCUGCAACUCGACUCCAUGAAGUCGGAAUCGCUAGUAAUCGCGGAUCAGAAUGCCGCGGUGAAUACGUUCCCGGGCCUUGUACACAC
rnacentral:rRNA from 1 species